rnacentral:lncRNA from 1 species
CUGUGAUAUCGUGACACCAAAUCGCCUGCACUGCAGCCGUCCCGCUAGACCACACGACCACCUGGGCUCUCAAUAAAGAGCUUUCGGUGGGCAUGUGUUACCUUUCCACGUCAGUUUUAAUCUAGCGGCGUACUACAGUACAUGAUAUAUAAGGCAUGAAGAUGUUAUUGUUACAGAUCAGCUAAAUUAUCUAUAGUAAAGGAUCCAACAAAUUAAUGUAAGAUAC